rnacentral:lncRNA from 1 species
UUUAUUUAUUUAUGAUAGUCACAGAGAGAGAGAGAGGCAGAGACACAGGCAGAGGGAGAAGCAGGCUCCAUGCACUGGGAGCCCGAUGUGGGAUUCGAUCCCGGGUCUCCAGGAUCGUGCCCUGGGCCAAGGGCAAGCGCCAAACUGCUGCGCCACCCAGGGAUCCCCAAGUUCUUUGAUUCUUCUUAAAUAAUAUAUACACAAACACCUUUCUACUAGAUAUUAGCAUUGGUAGAAAGUUGCAUCAAGGAAGGAAUUUUGAAACAGGCUACUAGUAGUAUGUUGGGAUCUACAAUCCCUGAUUAAUUACCACUGUCAACAAGGAUACAAGUGAUGUAUCCUUAAGAUCGGGGGGGGGGGGGAAUUGGAUAUAAAUUUCUUCUACAUCAGGUAUCUACAAAAAAUUGAGAAUCUACCAUCCAAAAGACUAAAAAAACAAAACAAAAAUAUAAAACACUCCCCUAUUUUAGAAACUUUUUAUCAUCCCUGACUUCAGGAAUGAAGAAACUGAAGCUAAACAAGUUUCAGUAACUUAUGUUAAGUCUCAAGGAGAUUCAAUGACACAGUGCAGAUCAGCAAUCAAUGAAAUUUUUGUAUGACAUUAGGCAGCAGAGCUUAAGGUACACAUUUAAGUAGAGUAUAUAUUUAUUUUUCUGAAGCAUGUUAACUCUGUCUAAUUUCCCAGACAAUUCAGGCAAAGGGAGGGACAUUAAUCUGAAUCACCUUUGAAAUUCAUCCCAAAGUUGAGAUUAUUUCGUGAAUGACCUAGAUAGCUGUAGCUAUGGUCCACUAUGAUCCUACGCAUAACUUUACAUGGAGACUUCUAAUGACAGCUGAAAAUCGUUUAGUUGGUAGCUUACACAUGGAAAUAAGAGUUUCAAAAUUAUACUCUGGUCUGAAUAUAAACAACUCCAAAUUACCAACACAAGCUUUGCCCAAAAUAAAUGGUCACAAUAAGUCUAUCCAUUAAGGGCAUUGACACAAGUCCCAUGGACUAUGAGUAUCCCUAGAUACUCCAAGGAAGGGGUGGGGAUGGUGUCACCAGGCUGCAGGCCUAGAAAUUAAAGAGGUCCAAGUCCAGACCAGACCAGACUGGGGAAGGAGUAUAUGGGUAGGUCUCUUUACCUCUGCUCAGACCUCAGGCAGUUCCCAAGAUAUCUUGUGUGACUACAAGCAACUAUAGUAGUAAAGGCAUUGAAGAGUAGCCCUCUAUUCUAUGGAAAAUUUGCUCCUACCUUUGGUAGUGCUUGGAGGGAAGGGGGAUUUCACUUUCUUCGUCCUGUUCCCUCACUAAGACAUUGUUCUGGUUUAACCAAGCUCACUCGUUUGGAGAAAGACAGAUGCCUCUUUGUUAUAUUCAGGGGAAAUCCACAUUAGAUUUAGCAUGGAGGCCCAUUUUUACUAAUUAUGUCACCAUGUAAUUCUGUGCAUAUGUACAGGCCUCAGAAAAUAUGAAUUUGUAACUGUGUUUUUGCCCUAUUGUAUACACAUUUUUUGUUCUUUAAUUCAGAUUAUUUGUUCUAAAGACAUACUGAAUGCUAGAGAUGCAAGAGCUCUAGAGAUGAUCUAUUUAGACUCUUUAGAUCCUUGAGACCCUUUUGACCCUUAGUUCCUUUGACAAAACAAAAAAAGACACCCUGACAGUUCUAAGAAAGCAGCCAAAGCAGAAAUGCAAUCCAGAGCUCCCAACUCCCAAUCCAACCUUCUUUGAUUCUCUUAUGGAAGAAAUAAAGUUCUUCCUUCUCUUCUGUGGCUCUAUUUCCAAUCACCCAUCAUGGGAGACAUAUCACUUCCUAGAAUCCAGAAUGUAUCUCACUGUAAAUAAACAGUUUAAUAAAUAGCAAUUGGUAAAGGUAAAAUCAUACCAUACUUCAUGUAUGCUAUGGUAUCUUGCAGAUUUACUAGGAAACCUAAUUAUUACUAUUGCUAUUGCUAUGGAAAAAAAUUAUUUAGGGUUCCAAAUAAUCAACUUUCAUAUGCAAUUUUGGAAUAAAGACAGUUCACAAAUAGCCUAAGACUAUGAGCCCUAUAGUAUAGUUCUUGGAAAUACUUGCAUCAUCUUCAUGGAUUUACAGGCAAAUUUUUCUCCCAAAUAUAUAUCCUCCUAUAUAUCCUCCUAUAUAUCAUAUAUAUCAUAAAGGUUCAAGGAGAAAAGACUUUUCCACACACUUAUCUCCCUGUCUACUGAAGACACUGUCCCAUGA